GACGAACGCUGGCGGCGUGCUUAACACAUGCAAGUCGAACGGAAAGGCCCUGCUUUUGUGGGGUGCUCGAGUGGCGAACGGGUGAGUAACACGUGAGUAACCUGCCCUUGACUUUGGGAUAACUUCAGGAAACUGGGGCUAAUACCGGAUAGGAGCUCCUGCUGCAUGGUGGUGGUUGGAAAGUUUCGGCGGUUGGGGAUGGACUUGCGGCUUAUCAGCUUGUUGGUGGGGUAGUGGCUUACCAAGGCUUUGACGGGUAGCCGGCCUGAGAGGGUGACCGGCCACAUUGGGACUGAGAUACGGCCCAGACUCCUACGGGAGGCAGCAGUGGGGAAUAUUGCACAAUGGGCGGAAGCCUGAUGCAGCAACGCCGCGUGCGGGAUGACGGCCUUCGGGUUGUAAACCGCUUUCGCCUGUGACGAAGCGUGAGUGACGGUAAUGGGUAAAGAAGCACCGGCUAACUACGUG
rnacentral:rRNA from 1 species